rnacentral:rRNA from 1 species
GACGAACGCUGGCGGCGUGCUUAACACGUGCAAGUCGAACGGACAGGCCUGCUUUCCCUUGUGGAUUGCGGGUACUCGAGUGGCGAACGGGUGAGUAACACGUGAGUGAUCUGCCCCCAACUUGGGUAUAAGCCUGGGAAAAUGGGUCUAAUUCCCGAUAGGACUGCAGGGUGGUGCCUGUGGUGGAAAACGUUCUUCUAGUGGUUGGGGAUGAGCUCGCGGCCUAUCAGCUUGUUGGUGGGGUAAUGGCCUACCAAGGCGGCGACGGGUAGCCGGCCUGAGAGGGUGGACGGGCACAUUGGGACUGGGAUACGGCCCAGACGAGUACGGGAGGCAGCAGUGGGGAAGAAUGCGGAAGGAGCGUGAGCCUGAGGCAGCGACGCCGAGUGGGUGAUGACGGGCUUGGGGUUGUAAACUCCUUUCGACCGCGAUGAAGCCACCUGGUUGGAAGGGUGGUGACGGUAGUGGUAGAAGAAGCACCGGCUAACUACGUG